AUUGAACGCUGGCGGCAGGCUUAACACAUGCAAGUCGAGCGGAGCGAGGGUGCUUGCACCUUAGCUUAGCGGCGGACGGGUGAGUAAUGCUUAGGAAUCUGCCUAUUAGUGGGGGACAACAUUCCGACAGGAAUGCUAAUACCGCAUACGCCCUACGGGGGAAAGCAGGGGAUCUUCGGACCUUGCGCUAAUAGAUGAGCCUAAGUCGGAUUAGCUAGUUGGGGGGGUAAAGGCCUACCAAGGCGACGAUCUGUAGCGGGUCUGAGAGGAUGAUCCGCCACACUGGGACUGAGACACGGCCCAGAGUCCUACGGGAGGCAGCAGUGGGGAAUAUUGGACAAUGGGCGGAAGCCUGAUCCAGACAUGCCGCGUGUGUGAAGAAGGCCUUUUGGUUGUAAAGCACUUUAAGCGAGGAGGAGGCUACUUAGAUUAAUACUCUAGGAUAGUGGACGUUACUCGCAGAAUAAGCACCGGCUAACUCUGUGCCAGCCGCCGCAGUAACAC
rnacentral:rRNA from 1 species